CGGGACGGGUGAGUAACGCGUGGGUAACCUGCCUCAUACAGGGGGAUAACAGUUAGAAAUGACUGCUAAUACCGCAUAAGCGCACAGGGCUGCAUGGCCCGGUGUGAAAAACUCCGGUGGUAUGAGAUGGACCCGCGUCUGAUUAGCUGGUUGGAGGGGUAACGGCCCACCAAGGCGACGAUCAGUAGCCGGCCUGAGAGGGUGAACGGCCACAUUGGGACUGAGACACGGCCCAG
rnacentral:rRNA from 1 species